UAAAGCAGAGGCUGUAUCUCGUACACUGGGUUGGAUUAAAGGUGGUACACAGAUGUAGCAAGGGUGUUUUUCAGACGAGUUUUACUUCUUUAGUAGGAAAUACAUCCCGAGCUUGCUGUUGAAGAGCUGUGCAGGGAAGGGCCCCCCCCUCCCUACCCGCACACAGGAGCCAAGGCCCAAGCCUGCCACCCGCUGCCGGCCGACCCUGGGGCGCGGCGCGGAGGUGACGGGCCGAGCCGGGCCGAGCCUCCAAGUUUUCCUCCCCGCUGCUUGGCACCGUGCUGAGCCGCUGCGUUACAGCUUUAACUGCGCUUUCCCCGGGCUCGCUUCCCAGCUCUCAUCCCGCCCCGGCCCUCAGCGUGGGCCCGCCCGCCGGCCGGCUGCAGGACUGAUCAAGUGCUUGACUCAGAUUGCCAUUUGGAACAUAAGCAAGCAGCGUCCAGAUUUCACCAUGAAGACAGGAUUUGAUGCAUAGACAAAUGUUACCAGUGACCCACCAAAGAUGAAAAAGAGUUCAGCUUUUGAGGUUUUAGAGGCUUAGCCUGAUGUUUGUGGGGUAAACAGCUUGAGACAGAUACCUCAGUUUUACUUAAUACAUGCAAAAAAGUGAAUUCUGUUUUUCUACUAUCAAGUGUGCUUCUAGAAAGUGAAACCUUUUUUCUUUGUAAAUAGUAAAACUAAAGUUUCUGAAGUUGUUCUUUCACUGAGGCAAAAAUGACCGUAAACUGCCUCGAGAUGGACAAGGUGGAGAAGGUCACGCAAGGCCACGCUCUCAAAGGAGGAUUCUGCCUUUGAAUGGAAAAUCUUUAGCUGAUUUCCCUUUGUACUGUACUUUCCCUCUGUUUCUGUACUUUCCGUCUUUUACAUUCUUCAGUACAUAUCCUGUUGCCAAACUUAGACCCAGUCUGGCAAAGCCUUUCUCAUGUGAAGAUGAGAACUGAAGUUAAUGAGAAUAAAAAGGCAGAAGUAAAGAAAGCUGUGCACAAGCAUGUAACAAACACAGCACAGGAAGGCAAAAAUGUGAUCAUCAUUCUUUCUCAUCAACUGGAAGGAAGAAGGAGUUGUCGAAGAAUUUGAAUUAGCUCUGCAAGCGGAUUGAUAGCUAUGUCCAGAGUCCAGCAAUAUGUAUUGCUUUGAGGAGAAAGACAGAAAUCUAACAGAAAUCAACAUCUACCACAAAUGUGUUUUAUUACCUAAAUGAAGAAGUGCAGCAGUUGCGGAAUUGAGUCUCAGUGCCUGGCUUAGAAUGUAUUUCAUGGUCAGUAGAAAAAAAUGAGGAAGACAAGGGUGCGGCUGCUGCUUUUAGAGGCUCUGGCCAUGCAAACAGAGAUUGGCUUUGAAGUUGCAGUCCUUCAUCGUUACAAAAAGAAGAAUUUUAGGGGGGAAAAUGUGCGUUGCUCCUCUGAAGCUGAAUCCUCAGGCAUUUGUGGCCCGUCUUUGCAGUCCGAUAUGUUUUUUUUCGUGCUUGCAGCGUUGUUAAACAUCAGUGUGCAGAGCAGUUACAACGCAGCUGGUAACACGGCCGUGGGGUUUUUUGCCACUCGUACGCCUGUGCACCAAUGUACACGCUCGCCCUUCUUCACUAAUAUUCCUGAGUGCCUGGAUGUAGCUCCCCUGUCUGUGUGAAAUCUACAGCAGCAGAACUACAGUUCUGAACUGAAAAAGCUCUUCCUCAUCAGAAUCAUCUUUCAACAUGCAGGAAGAAAGUAUCUGAAGAGAAGUUUCCUAUUGCAUCAUCUGCAGGACUCCCAGAAAAUUAUUGUGCAACUUGGGAGAGAGGCUGCAAAGAUAUGGAGUCCUCGUGUUAUUUACCUACUGUGCUGUGCACAGAAGGAUGGUUAGCAUCAGGCAAGCUACGAAAGACCCACAGAGAAGAAACAUCUGAUUAACAGGAAGUUAGCCCACCUAGAAGUGGACUAACGAAUCCCCUGCAAGGAACUGGACCAUUGGGAACACUAAACUUUCAGACCAAGAGAACUUCAUACAUAUAUGGGAGAACUGUGGCUGUUACAUGACACCAACAAUGGGAAUAAACAUGGAAAAUGCAGCGUAUCUAUCUCAGGCUGCCCCUAAAAAGAUGAAAUAGUAAUCUGGCAAAGUGAACUCAAGAGGCACAAAGAGAAGACAUCAGAGACUGAUCCGCAAGGUGUUCAGAUGGAAGGUGUGAGCAUAAGCAUGAGCCUAUGAGCUGAGUCCCAGGACACAUCCAGCAGAGAGGUGGACUAUCCACUCCUUCUGACUGUCACCUGUCCUCAGCACUGGCCAAAACUGAAUUCCUAAGGAAGCAUGUAAGAAUGAGGAAAUUAUAUAUCGUAUUUCUAGUAAGUAAUCCCUCGGUGUUCAGCCAUCCCAGAGAUGUACUCAGGCAGGCAUAGUUUCUUUGUAUUUAGUAUCCACAGUGGAUUUCUGUUCUGUAAACUUGUACGGUCUUCCUCUGAACCCUGUAAACUCCAAGCAUCUGCGUUAGCAAGGAGUGCCACAGCUUAACACGUUAUGAAGAACCACUUCCUUUUUGUUUAUUUUGAAACUACCUCCUCCUAGUUAAAGAUGGAACAAUACAUUAUGGAAUCUGACAGCAAAGCUGGUGUAGUGUUUUGAGAUUAUAUUUUGAAAUGUGAUUCAUUCUUGGAAGAUGUUAGAUUAGUGGUGUAGAUCAAGCACAACUAAGUAAUCUAUGAUAGUGUAGCCUUGGAAAUUAGAUAACUACUAGCUUACGAGGUCUGCACUCCAAGGAAAUUUGUCUUAGCUGCCAUAUUAAUUCUAAGCAUGGACAUGCUUGGAAACAGCAGCAAAAUUCAUGAUAGGUGCUAGUUAAAGGAAGUAUUUAAGCAUGCCUAGUUCCAUUGCUGUGUUUCAGACUAAGGAUGUUCUAGGGUAGUUUACUGAAUCUGGGUCUUAUUCUCGAGGUAUUCCUGUAUUUCUAAAAUGUAAUUUUGCUGAAACAUGUAUAUUAAAAUUACAUCUUCAUACCUGCUUGAUAAACACCAUAUACUUUGAACUUUUUGUUAGAUUUCCUUCCUCCCAAACAGUUGGGAUCUUAUUGAGAACAUAUUUAGUAAUUUCCAGCUUUCCAGUGAUUGAGAUCUAACCAGGAGAGAGAAGUGGGAAGAGGAAAGGAAGGGUGCAUCUUGAACACUGACAUUUGAAGAAGAUAGGAAGGACAAGAAUCAUCAGUCUGUUAAAUACUGAGACCAGAUUUCCCAGGGAUGUGCUAAUAUAUGCUUAAAUACUACUUAAAUAGACAAAGAAGAUCUGAGAGACUUUUAAAUUAAUAUUUUUUUCUACUUUCUAAGAUGGUGGUAGCUUUUCUUUCCUUGUAAAACAGAUGUUUUAUAGACAUAUUCAUGGAUAGUGAGUUAGGACGUUGCCAAAAGUCACAAAGCAUGUUUAAGGUGAGACUGUUCUUAAGCUCUUUGGCUCAUAACAUUAGAAUCUGUGUAAUGCUGUUGCCUCUGUCCAUCAAUGAACUCUUAGGUUAUGGAUAGAAUGAGUGAGCAGGUUUAUCUGUCCUUUGGAAUGGGCAUAGUGCAGAGCUUGAAAUGAGCUGGCUGCAACUGCCAGAGCUGCUCUUUGUUCUCAGACACAAUAACCCCUUUGUGGCAUCUUUUGCUAAAUAAAAAGAAUGUGUCUUUGCUGUGUUUGUAAAACUUGUUAAGAGCAUUGAAUGCAAAGCAGUGUAAAGAGCAAAGUAUUAAAAUUACUAUUUACUCGCGUGGUUUUUCAGACUGCUAAGAUAUCUCCUGCAAAACCAAAUGACCAGCCAAACACACAUCCUUACAAAAUCAUGACAUUGAGAGGCUGAUUUUAACUAAAUCACUGUAAAGUCUGUCUGACUGUGGGAGUUUCUCCUUUUUUUUUUUUUUUUUUUUCAUUUUGAGAGGGUUUCUUAAUGCAAACAGACUUUGCAAGUUUUAGUGCACUGAAACUGAACUGUCUUAAAUGUCAAAUGCCUUCUUUUUGGCAAAUUAUUAUAGUAAAUAGAACAUAUGACAUUACAUUAUGUAACAGUGGUAUUCUUACAUGAGUCUUAUAGUAGAGUUCCAGGUUGAAACUCAAGGCAAGCUGUGUGUAGUACAAUAUUUGAUCAUCUGUAUCCUAAAUUCCUUUCAUGCAAAGAUAAAGCCUGGGACAAGGCAAAUACUGUUUUUUUUUUUUUCAUACAGCAUACUGGAACACUGAAAGAUUAGGACCAGAGUGUCAAAAAAUUUGAAAUCCUAUUUAGACAGCAGAACGAAAGGCUGAACUUUCAAAAAUGCUUGGCUCUACUGGCACUGUCUGAUCAUAAGAUAUGAAGCUGGAACUAGUUGAUGCUGAGAGCUCUUGAAAGUCUGACAUCAGCAGUGGGCUUAUAGCACUGAAAUAUCGGCCUGCAAUUAAAUUUCCUCAAAAAAACCAUAAAAACUAUGCUUCAGUGCAGGAAAUGAACCUAGACAUUCAAUCCUAUAUUUUAAAUAAUACAUUUUUUUGUUUGUUUGUUUCUAAGAAGCAAACAGUAAUGGAAAUGCCUCAGAAGGAAUAGAAAACCAUCAUAAAGAUGGAAAGAAAAAAAAAACAACUGGAGAAAAAUGUAAGAAAAUGCCAUGAGCAAGUACGUUGUUGGCAGUGAAAGAUGGAAACCAUCAAAAGAAAUGUCAAAAUUAGCUAAAGAUUCCAGGAGAGAUAAAAAUGGGGAUUGUUACUCCUAUGAUGUGUUCCUGUUGAGGGGAAAUCAGAAGGCAACUGUGAGGAUCGAUAGAUUCAGAAAAUGCUACUGCCCAUCAAGACACUGUAAAAAGACACCAUGAAAAACAUGAUUGUGAGAUUGGUUAGGGCUAGAAAUGACCAGAUUUGUUGUCUAAGGAAAAUCACUAAUUAUUUUCAAAUAAGGGAGGAAAUGAAUUUAUUUCAAAGUUGAAUUGUUAAAAUACUCUUUAUCAGCACAAUUAAUGCAACCUAAGCAAAAAAAUCUCUAAUACAAACUUCUAAAACCAGUGUCUUUAUAUAUCUUCUAGUGAGCAUAUGUCUCAUAUAUACUCAAGGUCUGUACAGAUGCAAUAAAAGUAUCUUAACCCAGAAUACUUAAGUAAUUGUCCGUUCAUUUUCUUUCUUGAAGCUGUUUGCUGCAUUUAGACAGGUUAAAAUGGAGUGUUUUUCUGACUCUUGGGACUGACAUUCACCUUCCUAUUAUGUCAUAUUAAAGGCUCUGUCAGGUUUGAAAAUCACUGAUGUUAAAAUAAAAACAGUGUCUGGAGGGAGAGGCACAAUAUGCUUUAGUUUUCCAGCCUGGUUAUUUGCAAAGAGUGGGAGGAGAAGCAGGGUCCAUCGCAUGACUUAAGUCUACAUUAGAUCCUUCUUUAACUAAAAAGGGAAAAACUGCUUUUUUUUUUUUUUUUUGAGAACAGUCUGUAUUUGUAUGUACUCAAAAUACCAAUUGAUUUGCUGAUAUAAUCGACAGACAUUGCAUGCAUUUCAAGUCAUUGAACAACAAUUUGCAGUAAUUCUGUUUUCCUUUGUGGAGAUAAUUAAGCCACACAACAGCUGUCUAGCAAACAUUAGCGCUCUGCUACCCUGUCCCACGAGAACAGAGGCAAAGCAGGAGUGCUAUGACCAACCGGCUACAGUUUACUGAAUGGCAGAACUGGUGUGAGACUCAAAUCUUACCAACUCUUGAAUUAUAAAGUCAUAUAUGCUACCGCUGAGGAGGAUGGGCUCAUGUUGUUUAUACUUAGAACAUCUCAAUCAGUGUGCUUUGUGACUGCAGAAGAGUAAGUCAUUUUAUGUCUGGAGAAAAACUACAUAGCCGUGCUAAGCAUUGUACAAACAUGUAGAGGUAGUCCUCAUCUCGGCUCUGCUCAGUCUAACUGUAUCAAAGAGACAGAAGUCUUCUGUAAAUUUCAUUUAAACCAUAAUACAAGGUAAGCUCUGUACAAAUUGAGGGAGAUUUAAGCAUAUGUCUCUAUGUCUCUUUUUUUUUUCUUGAAUCAAGAUCAUACAUUAGCUAAAGAGAACACCUUUCAGUCAUGAGUGUACUUUAAUACCAUUUUUGAAAAUGUAGUAGUGUACAUUGCAUUAUUGCACAGAAUCACAGCACCACUUGGGUUAGAAGCUAAAGCUUACUGAAACCUCAAAUGGUUCGUACAGUAUCAUCCUUCUCUAUAAAUAAAUAGUAUAUAACCUUUGUACUCUAGAAGCCUAGUAAAGACCCUGGCAGGACAUCAUACAACCUCUUAAUUUAACUUGCCAGCUAUUUGUGGAACUCUGCCUCGGUGUCACUGAGAAACAGAGUUGGAGGUGACAGUUCAGAUUUUGCAUCCUCCUUCCGGAAGCCAUUUCAGUCAUGCAGCCAGUUAUGUAUCUUACUGUGCAUUUAUAGCUUAAGGGAAUCAUUUGCUGAUGAAAAUAGUCCUGGGCACAGCAGAGAUGGACAGAGGGUAAAGGCAAAGGUCCACUGAUAAGAUGCAAACCAGAAUCUGCUUGCCAUUGUCUAUUCAGUGUCAGAUGCAGUGUCAAAGCUAACAAGGGAGCCUGAGAAGUAGCAUGACUCCAAAGAGAAGCAUUGAGAAUGACUUACUGGGGAACCAAGUUCUAAGAUGAGCGCUAACCAAGCUAGAAGCGGAAAGAUGUGAGGAUUGGUCACCUAUGCAAAGGAAAUGACAAGGGCUCAAGAGGAAGUAGGAAAGAUACAAUUUUGAAGAACUGGGUAUUACAUGUAAAAUCAAAGGUUUCAAGUCCCCUGGCUGCUGGCCUCACCCUGAUUUCUGGGCGUUGGGAUCUGGUAAUCAUCAUUUCUACCAUCAAGAGCUGGGAAGUGCAGCCCAGCGUGAGUUCCUGCUGCUGCUGCUCCUGCAGCCGUCCGUGUCACUCCUGGCAGCCAUCUUAUGCUGGGCAGAAAGCCCACCAGGGCUAGCACAGCAAAUCGGCUGGUUCCCAAAUCAAUUAUGCUAAGAGCAGUGAAAGAUCACUUCAGUUGCCCUGAAAUGUGAACUGCCUCCUUUGGGGUUGUCACCAAGUCAUCCAGCUGUCUGAGAAUAUAGUUUGUCUUUCGUCUGAUCAGAGUCUGACUGUCCUUUGGGGUGAGGUAGUAGGUUGUAUAGUUUUAGGGUUAUGCCCUGCCUGUCAGAUAACUAUACAAUCUACUGUCUUUCCUGAAGUGGCUGUGAUAUCAUCGCUGGAUAUGUCUUCAAAAGGCAAAGUAAAUAUAUUUCAAUUGUAACAUUCUCUGGCUCUGACUACAUGUUGAAUUUGGUUCUCAUAGCAGGGUUAUGAAAGAACACAAAUGUCCUUAUAUUGUUUAAAUUCCUGGAUCUGGCAUUUAGAUUCAAAAUUAAUUUCCUUUUUGUCAUCUUCUCAGAGGAGGUGUGUCACAGGGCACAGAGGUACAACCCAGUCUACUGUGGAUUUGCUCAUGCUCAGCUUUCUCCAACUGCCAGCAUGCUCUUUAGAGUGGCUGUUUGUAAAAACCUGACCCAUUUCUUCAUUACUUUGUGGCAUUUGUGUUUAUACUCAAUGGAAAAUGCCAAUUUUGAUUGAGAAGUUAUUUAAACCCACUUUGCAUAAGCUGUUUGACAAACUAAGUGAUGACUUGGAUAAUAAGACAAAGAGGAUGUCUUCCAGUUGCUCGUGUUCUGCCCUGGAACCAGUAAAUGCAAAGUAAAAAGACCCUACAUCUCUUAACUAACUUUAGCAAAAUCCUAAGUAAAGAGAUUUUUAAAAAUCAGUUUUUGAACACUGAUUUAACUUACUUUUGUAUUACAUAAUGCUAACUUGGGAAGGCAUGUGCUUUCCACUGCAGUUCUGUCUGUGGAGUCACCUGACCAAUUCUGAUGAACUUCCAGGAAGAACACUGAGGAAGGGUUGACAGGACAUAAUUAUGGUCUUUUUAAGACUAAGAUACACGUGGGAUAGAAGGUGUUCAGGAAAUCUUACUUGCAAAUGAUGAAAUGCUAGUAUUCUUCAAAAGAUCUACUUGAUGCUCUAACAGGAUGAGGUAGUAGGUUGUGUGGUUUCAGGGUAGUGAUUUUGCCCCAAUCAGGAGAUAACUAUACAACCUACUGCCUUCCCUGAUAAGCAGCAUAACAUCAGUGUCUUAAUUCACAGAAAAUCAAGGGCUAAAGUAGACUUCUGUGACCAGCACAGUAAGUCUACAUACAAUUGUUGUUGCCCUGUCCCUAAUAGCUCUAACUUUCAUGUCUUGCUUUGUUUUUAAUAACUGCUUUUGAAAUAAUGAUCUUUUUUAAACCAUUGAGAAAAAAUGAAUUAAAGAAAUUUUGCUUAUUCCAAAGUUUGUCUGUUCUUGAUCUGUUUCGUUUCUGAUUCAUUUCAGUGGAAUGAAGUUAUCGUGGGAAAUGAUUCCAAAAAUGCUGUUGAACGUGCAUUCAAGAUGUUCGUGUUUCCUUGACAUCUUAGUUUGAGUGCAACAAAUUUUACUAGCAGAGCACUGUUUUUGUUCAACCCUCCGUGCCUCCCAGGAAACUUCCAAUGUUUCACAAAUAGCAGAUUAACUCACACAACACUCUUCGACAGAUCAGCUUUGUAUUACAAAUAACAAGCUAUAACAAUUAAAAUCAAGGACCAGAUUUAAAAAAAGAAAAACAGACAUUGAUUUUUUACCCUCAGUUGCUCAUAGGCAGUCUCAUUUCAUGACAUUGAAAUGGUCCCAAAAGAGAAUUCAUUGAGUAUCUAAAAGGAACAAAUUGCACCUGGAAAACUGUGGACAGAAAAUAUUAGAUCCAAUAAAGAUGCUUUGAGAAUACAAACUGUAGUCUUACACUACCCCACCCCCCCAAAAAAAAAUAAAAAAAAUCUGUGGAAGAAGGGGAAUAUAGCAAUAAGGUGCUGGUUUUAGUUCUAGGCACUGAAAUCAUUCUUCCAUGUGCAAAAAGUACCAGGAAAUAUGAAUCAUGUAAAACUUAAGGUUACCUUAAGAUCAGGGUUAUCAAGCUGGUUAUAUAGAGUCAUUUGUGUAUAUUUUGAUUAUACAGCAUCUGAUUAAUGUAAAGCGGAAUGAAAAUUUUAGUUAGUUGUAAUCCUCUAUUCCUAUCUCAAAUGCUAUACAAAAGAAAGCCUUGCUCACAUAAAAACCAUUACUCUCUUACAUAUAUGUAGGCAAGCUCAGACAUCCACGGUAAGAAAAAACAAAGAACCCUGAUGUUACAUUCAGCAGCAAAACUGGGUAUUUUAUUGCUUCUCUCAUCCAAAAAUAUCACACAUAUCUAGACUCAAAAGGUUUUUGAGGUCACUCAACACUUCAAAACAGGGCCAUUUGUUAAUACCUUUAAUAAAUGGCUAGGAAUGUUACUUGAUUCUUGUUCAUAGGAAUAAAGGCAGUUGGUAGAUGAGGAAAAAUUACUGUCUGAAAAACAUAGAAUAGGCAAUACUGUGGCUGCUUUUAAUCUUCUCUUUUCUUCUUGCUGUUUAAAGAGGAUCUCUUAAUUUAAAACUGCUGUAGGGAUACUUACCAUGCUGGCCAUGUUCAAGGGCUCCGGGACAUGUGUUGCAGAUCCUGAACUCUUCUACUGAAAAUACAGACUCACAGCUGCAGCAUAAACAUCUUAGAUGAGUGAGAGUAGUGAUUGCACUGUGUGUAGCUUAAAGCAUCCUGCUCCUCUCCAAGAUGCAAAACUGCCUGGAAAUUUGUAGCUUAGUUUUACAUUCAGUAAAUACAUAGCAAAUAUUCUGUACUGGAGAAAGAGGUGAAAAGGGGGAAAGUACUCUCCACAUUCUACAACAGCCUUUUAGAUCUUGCCUCUGAAGUCAUUUUAAAGUCUUUCGUCUCUGUCUGGGUCAGCAUUUUGUUCUUGGUAAUGAGCUGUGAGUUUUCAGAUUCUAGUCAUCCUGGCAAUCCCAUUAAAACAAAGAGCCAAAAAAAUCCAUAGCGUUCUCUUCACUGGGAUCUACAGUAAAUGCAAAAACAUGUGCCUAUAUUUAGCAGUGUGCAAGCCUGCGGUUAAUCAGGUUUGUCCUUAGCAGUAGGUGUCAUUACAGCUAAUGGGAACAGCAAUAGAAACUUGAAAGAACAACUCUAUAGUGCCAAAUAUUUUCCAGACUAAUAUACAGAAAAACUUUGUAACAAAACAUUAGUAGCUUGGGCUAGAAUUGUUAUGGAAAGUGUGGGUUUUUUGCUUGUUUUUUUUUUUUUUUUUUUUUUUUUUUUUUUUUUUUAAUUCAAGUCAGCAUUUUGGGGGGAGGGGCAUGUUUUGGUUGGUUAGUUGGUUGGUUUGGUUUGUUGGGUUUUUUUUUGAGGUCAUGCACUGUUCUGUUGUGCAGACUCACUAGGUGUGAGGAAAGCACAUGAUCAUGAGCUACGUAGCAUGCAAUUUUAUAAUCUGUAUCUGCUUAAACAUUGUUUUUUAGUCCAACAACAGCAUUAAGUGAAGAGAGGCUGAGUAUUUCUUGCUGGGACAAUGCCUGUGUAUUUGGUUAUAACAGACUAAGCAAAAAGCAGUGGGCACAGAAUUUUCUGUGAGGCCAGGAUUUCAGUUGUUUGUUCCCCUUCUCUGCCCAGGAGAAAGUACACAUAUAUUCAACAUAAACAUCAACCAUUUCCCUGCCAUCAAGGCCACCAUUUACAAAUUUUAGAUCUCUGCUGCAAGUAUGUGUGGAACAUUACACUUCUUAUUCCACAAGGCUGGUAAGUUUUUGAGUUUUGUUUUAACAUGUGCAAACUUCCUUAUUCUCCAAAAACAGAUGUCCAGCAUGAAAAUUUUGACUCCACUUGAUAAAAGACUAAAACAAAUGUAAAUGUUUUUAGACAAGCUGGGUAACUCUAACAAAAGUCUGUGCUACCAGCCACACUUGCAAAAAUCUCUACUACUACUGUGCAUAGGUACCAUGAGGUGCCCGCUGCAGGGCUGUUCCUCUGGAGCCACUCUGGAGAGGACAAAAGCCUUGAACACAGAAAUAGUUACUGGGAGCUUGACUGAAAGAGCAAAUUACAAGGGGGAUUUAUAGUGGGAGAGGAUCCAAAAAUGUGCUAAGACCAUAGCUGGUAUGCCAGUCAGCAUUGAUACAGAUUCAAUGUAUUGCACAACAUACUGCAAAACAAGAGUUGCACCUGUGGUUACAGGGAGGGAGCUGGUGAAAAAAUGCGCGCCUUCACUUGUGCUCGAAGAGCUUCCCCAAACUGCCUGUUCCCAAGACUGUUCUUCAAACAGGAGACAAACAUUAAAUGAGAACAAAAUAAAAUUUUUAACUGAAGUCAUCUGUGAUAAAACAGUAUGCACCAUUCAGAGAAGGUGAGGUCUGAACAUAUUGCUAAUUACCAUGAAUGUGAUCGUGCACAGCGGUUACCUUAGAGAUGUCACAGCUGAAACCUGUUUGGGCUUGGAGGUUUUCUGUAACUAACGCUAUGCAGUUCUCAGAAUAUGAAUGCAUAUUAGUUAUGGGAAUAAUGGUUAUCAAGAUAACUAAAGAAAUAAUUUCUGUCAUGCAGUACAAGAGCAAAUCAAAGGUGGGAAGGGAUGGGAGGAUGCAGAAUUAGAUUAAAUCUGAAAAAGUAGUUGGCAAAAGCAGGGUGGGGCUAUACAAGCCGGAAUUUGACCAGUGUCUGCAGUUAAAUCACAUACUUUUUGGACAAAAAAAAAAUACCACCAAAUGAUCAUCCAAGUAGGGGUAUUCUACCUCUUACACUGACCUCAUGUUUUCUGCCAGGCAGACAGAUCAGAAGCAGACAUCCAGCUGAAAGCUGGCCACAUACUUUUGCCUGUCAGGAGGCAGGGCAGCAGCUCCAAUGGCCACAUCUAGCAGCUCCCCACACAUCUUGCAUCACUGCACACAGAGCGGAGAGACAUCAAUGCACUGCAGGGGUGACACAAGGUGUGUUUGUGACUUCACAUCUCACUCUACAUGAGGCAUGUUUGCUCUGCUGGACUGUUCCCUUCUAGCUCUACACAUUGGUCUUUGUUAGUACAGGAAUUAUUACACUUAAUGGAAAUGAAGUUCCAUCUAGGCACAUACAAAGGCCAGUCAAAAACAGGAUGAAACAAAUUGUGCCCCACUCACCUAUUGUGUUUGGAAGUUUUUGAAGUGAAAAUACUGGAAACCAAUUUUACAAAAACAUACAAGGAAAAACAUCCAAACUAUUUGCUCUUGUGAUUUGGUAACUUCAUGAGGAUUUUAGCUUUGAGGUGACAACCUACUUCUGUGCACCAUGAUAAAUCCUGCUGAUGCCAUUUAUUUUGCACAGGUGCAGCUGGGGUUGGAGUAGACGACACUGAAAAAGUCCAUUUAACCACGUGCACAAGCUCCAAGAGCAUGUGUGCUUACAACUGCCAGCCAGUCCUUUGGUACCACUGCACUGCCAUCAAGGCGGGCAUGCCUGUUCUUGGCAGAGAGGGGUGUCUGCCAGCAACACCCAGGAUGUGCUCGCAUGGCCUCCAAGCACAGCCCACAGACCCUGAUUGCACCCAAAUGCCACUGUCUUAUAUAGUGCUGGAACCCACAGUGGCCAGGUUUGGUCUGUAGCACAGCCCAGCUCCUCCAGCCCAGGCUCAUGGGUACAGCUGUCCGCAGUAAGGCUGGAGUGCUUGGUUGUGCCUGCCUGCCUUGUUCUCACCAUGCUGUGCUGGUGUUUCACAGGGGGUGAUGCCAAGGAAGGAGAGCUGCUGGGCUAGAUACCUCCCACACCGUGUGCUUUGCAGAGAGAUGUGGGCUGUGGGCAGCUGAGCUGCAGAAGUCAUUGUGGCUGCAGUGCAGAUGCAGCAAGUGGAAUCAGCAAGUGGGAUGCAUCAAUGCAGCAAGUGGGAAAGAAUACAAAUAAAAAAUUAGGCCUGUCCUAAGAGCAGCAUACAAAAUUUGAAGGACGGGAGGAUUAAUAACAUAUUUUAAAGCUGCCCUGGCAUGGCUCUGAUAAGUGUGUCUCUACUUAAUCCAUGAAGGUAACUUCCAUUAGAACACUGCAGUGGAUAGCAUAUUUGAAGAUGUCUGCAAGGGUAUGGUACUCAGUGACUUGGAUGUCCAGAUCUUACCAAAAAAAUCUGUGCCAGCAGUGCUGAAAGAGCAGGACAACGGCAUCAAAAAACUAGGCCAAAAGUACAUUGAUUUUCAAAUAGAUCUGUGCUCUUAAGUCACUUUGGCACUUUUAAUUGUUUUACAAUUUACAGUAAUGAUUAACAGUCAUGCUCAGCUUUUGAUCGUAAUAAGGCUUUUGUCUGGUUGUGGAAUACUGUUCAUGCCCAGUCUCCAACACAAAUCAAAACCAUAUGAGUAAGCAGGUUAAGAGACAACCAAGUUGUAACUAAGUUGCCUGAUGUGGCUUAGUUUUGUAUUCCAGCCAGGGCCUGAGGUUCUUACUAGAGGUUUUCCCUGUCCAGCUUGCAUAUUCAAAUGUAAAUAAUAAUAUUUCCAUCCUUGAGGAGCUCAUGUGAGAUUUUAUAACACAAACAAAGGCAUUAGUGUGUUAAAAAGGUCUCUCAAUCAACUGAAAGUGUGCAGCAGUUUAUAUAUUAGUACGUUUUUAAUUAACACUUGGAAGAGAGAAAUACUUGAUGCACUUAAGAGUGACACAAAUAAAAGUGCCUUUCGUACAUUCUCAGUGUAAACAUCUAAACUGAAAAUAAAAUUAUUCCUGCUCUCACAGAAGGCAACUGGCAUUUAGCUUUUGUGAAAAAUGGCAGCUUAGUCUUUUUUUUUUUCACACUGCCAGACAGGUUUUUCGACCGACUUGCUUUUAGUGAUGAAAACAUCUCACUUCCUGUGCAACUGUGAAGAGAAAACCCCCGUUUGCUGCACCCCAGGGCAUGGGGGGGUUCCAACCUCAUCUCAGCCUUCACAGUCCUUCCUGAGCAGAUGACUCUCGUGUGGCUGCAUUCACACGCUCCUCUCUGCAUUUCACCCGAGUUUGGGGAGGAAGAAGAAGAAGGAGGAAGAUGCCACCCAGAAGUUUGCAUUAUCAACUUUUACAGAAGUCUGCUCAUGAGGCUGCCUACAGCCCAGUCCCUAAAUACACCCAAAAGUGGGCAGGCCCAGAAGCAGAAAGCUAAACUAGACUGGUUUAGCUUUCUGCUAAAAGCUAAACCAGACUAAACACCGUCUGGCUGCUGGUGGCAAUGCCUAGGCUGUGGCCACCCUGGUCUUGUCUGGCCUUGGGUGGGUCUUGUCAAAGCUUCACCAUGUUGAGUGUAUGUAAACAUAGAAUCACAGAAUCAUAGAACAUCCCAAGCUGGAAUGGACCCUUAAGGAUCAGCGCCUGGCUCCACACAGGUCUACUCAAAAAUUCAGACCAUAUGACUAAGUGCACAGUCCAAAUGCUUCUUGAACUCAUACAGGCUUGGUGCCGUGACUACUUCCCCGGGGAGCCUGCUCCAGUGCGUGACAUCUCUCAGUGAAGAACCUCUUCCUGAUGUUCAGCCUGAACCUCCCCUGCUGCAGCUUGACACCAUUCCCACAGGUUCCAUCAGUGGUCGCUAAAGAGAAUAGGUUGGUGCCUGCCCCUCUACUCCCUGUUGUGAGGAAAAGAAUUAAUGAUCAAGUCAUAUCUUAUAUGACUAAUUAUUGCCUAUAUGUUACACAUGCCUAUUCAAUUAGUGUUGUUUUUUUUUUAGAAUAAAAUCCUAUAAAGAAAUUAAAAACAUUGAAUGAAUACUUUAAGUUAGAAAAUGUGAAUAUUUUUCUAAAAUGUUUUCUUCCUUUUAAGAAUAACCCUAUAUGAUGAUUAUUCUUUCAAAUAAUAAAAGUAUUUAAUUUUAUGUAGUUGAUUUCAUAUAGCUGAGACUGGAGGAAAAUUAAACAAACAAGGUACAUCUGUGACUUCAACUGAAGCUUACAUGAGUUCCAGUCAGCAAACUGGACAUGGCAAAGCUCAUCUCAAAAGAGAGAAAGGGAGAAAGAGAGAAAAUAUAAAUGAUUGAAAAUCACAACCAUGACGACAAACAACUUUGAAAGGAUAUUACUUCAUGGAAAACACCACUUUUAAGAGAAAUACUAGGAAACUAAGAGUGGUAAGAAAUGCUGUAUGAUCCCUUUUAGGCCUUUUUACCUGGCCUCUUUUCUCUUGCCUCAUGUAUGUCAUGGGUAAUCCCUACAACUCUUCCAGGCAUCUGCCUGUCCAUGUCCCUCCCACAUACCUGUACUUUCACUACUCUACCUUCACCAUCAUACUUGUAAUUCACCCCUUUCCCUAAACUCCAUUUAACUGUGAUUUCAUUUAUUCUCUUUCCCCUAAGAUGGUCCUUGCUUUGCAGCAGGAAGGCCACUGCAGGUGGGCUCUCUCCAGCAGCCAGGGGCCACCACAGGUGGGCAGAGAGAAUGGGGAGGAUGGCAAGUGCUCUCACCUCAGCCUCCAGCCCACUCCUCUAGACGAAGCUUUGCUUUGCUGAUUUAUGACUGCUCCUGAGCACCUUGGAUGGAGUUAUAGCCCCAUGUAUUACACAGUGCCUUCUCUGUUAUUCUUGCUACAAGCCACAGAUUUAUGGUGGCUUUUAAGCCAGGCAGUGCAUGAAGAAAUAUGAUCUUAACAAAACAUAGAAGGGACCAAGGGAGGUCAAAGUGUGGGGGCUGAACGCUCUGUGGUGAUCCAGGAUUUCCCUUUAUUUACUGCUCACACCUUUUCAAUCUCAAGUGGAUUUCAUCUGUCUUGGACAGCCCUAGCCAACAGAUGGGGAGGAAUCUGCAGUCUGGUGAGCUGAGUGGCUUUGCCAUCAGCGGAUGACUUUUAUUAUGAUUUAGCACACAUAGGAAAUCCCAAAAUAUCAUUGGUGAAUUAAAUCAAUUUACACACAGAGUGCCAGAAAGAUGCAUAGCAUCAACAAAAGCAGGAAUCUCACAGUACGAGUGCCGUCUUGUACUGCGUCAUCUACCUGUGUUUUUCUACGUUAACCAUGUCCUACAAAGCUCUACUUUUGAUACUGAAGGAAAAAAAAAAAAAAAAAAAAAAAAGUGAUAGACUUUUACAGAGAAGUGAAGCAAAAGCUAUGCCUGAUUUACUCAGUAUGAUGGUCUGACAAGGAAAAUAAUGCUGUAAGUAAUUUUCUUUUAUAGUAUUUUUUACAUGUAUUCAUAAAUUAUAUGAAAACAGUAACACAGAAAAAAAGGCAGGCACUCUUCUUAAUGUAUAGAUGGAUAAUGUGAGUCUGAGCAGCACACACAUGAGGACACAUGCGUAAGGGUAGAGCUGCAAGGAGUUACCUGAAGGACCACAGGCUGCUCUGAACCCUCUGUGUCAAGAUGCAAAGUGAAACAGCUGGCAAAGGGGGAAGAAAGGUGUAAUUACAGCCAACAAAUGACUCCUGAGCCAACACCAACUGAUGAGGCCCUGGUCUCAAAACAGAAGCCAGGAACAGGAGUUUUUUUCCUCCUAGGUGAGUGUCAUAAUCCCCUCCAGCUACAGCAUCAUUCUCUUUUUUAAUAAGACAGCUUCCUCUUGAUCAAAGAUUUAUUAUCAUUAUUUCUCUAUCCAAGGAAUGAAAUUUAUCUCCCUUCUGCUUAGUCUAGGGCUAUAGCAAGAAUCCUAUGGCACUUGGUUUUUGAAAGGGACCCAGCAAUCCAAAUGGGCACCCGCUCUUCCAAGCUUCCAGAACAACAGUCUCUAAUUCUCAGAUACAUCAUGCUGCAAGCUCUUCCUAAAGCAAGGAAAGUCAAAAUAGGCCAGGCCUUGGAUACUUUUUGGUAAUUCUUUUUGGUAAUUUUUUUACCCCUUUGUGCAGAGCCUUGAAGCCUGGGCUUUGCCUUUGAAGGUCGUGGGUGAGGUCUUCUCAUGAGAUGCAUGGUCUCCUCCAGAACGGCAUUGAAAGAAUGGUGAGUGAUGUAACUUUGCAGGAAGGGGAGAUGUGUACCCACUUGGGAUUCAUAUGUUCCCCAGCUCUCUGUUUUCCAAAUAAUUACUUUUCUCAUGCUUGUUUCCUCACAGUACAUGCUGUGUAUCAUGAUGUCAAGAACAAUAGAUUUUUCAAAUAUUAACACUGCAGCAGGCAUUGAAUAUAAUGAUUGUGUAUUGUGAAUACAUUAUAUUACGAACAUGACAUAUACCCAAACCUCUCACAAUCUGAACAUGCUACCUCCUGUUUUUUCAAUGUUAUGAUGACUUACCUCAUCUGAAGAUCCUAUGUAUUUUCUAAGUGGAGUUUCACUCAGCCUAGUCUUUGAUUAUUAUUGAUGUGGAGAAAGCAGGGAACAACAGUGUCCUGCUUUAUGCAGUAAGAGACCUAGGGAAUGCCAGGUUCAAAAUGAUCAAAAAGAGAUGAUUCUUCCCAGCCUGUUGAGGUUAAGCAGUGGAGAUCUUUUCUAUUAAGUGUACCAUGGUGCCAUUGGCAGGCCUACAGCAGCAGCUCAAAGAACAAUAUGAGUGAGAGAAGUAUGUGGAUGACCACAGCAGAUGUAGCACUCCUGUCUCAGCUUGGGAUAGAUCCUUGGAGGGGCAGAGCCUAAUUUUGUGGAAUGGCUUUUUCACUUUAGUUAAAAGUUGUCAAAGGUGUCUCUCAUGGUAGGAGCACUAGCUCAAAUGAGCUUCCUCAAGAAGCAGUAUUGAACUUGCUUUUGUUUAGAUGGCUUUCCCUUUGACAUGCUUGCUUUGCAAUAGAGACUUGGCUUGAAAAGAAGAUUCUAAAGAUGAACAUGGUGAAGAUAAAUCUUAAAGCUACUGCAACUAUGGGGGCAUUCCCACUUUGGACAGGAAGUAGACUUACAGUUGAAAACCAUUUCAACUUCAUAGCAGAUUUUGUGAGGGUUGAAAGUUAGUUACUUUUGCAUUAAGCUUCAGUACUUUAAAAAAUAAGGUGCUCAGUUUAUGCAAGAGUCAUGAGGCAGUUCCUCUGAUUCUGUUCUUUCUGUCAGGAGCCUCUUGUCCUUGCACUUGAUUUGUGUGCUCAAUUAUAGCUGUUCCAGUGGGAUACAUAACUUAGAUUUUAUAAUAGACUGGAAGUACAAAGUUAUAGCUUAAACUGUAUUGCAGUAGCACUUCUUGCUGGCCUGUUAUGCAUAUUUCAAUAAAGAAAGGUCAAAAUACUGCACCACCACAGAAGGGGGCUCAUGAUGUCUUUAUCUGUAGUAUAGGGAAAAUAUUCUUUGCUUAUGUGCCAAAACUUGCUGUAAAUUUAGAAACACAAAACCUGAAGAUUUUUAGUAUGGCUAAAAUACAUUGUGACAACUGCCAGAUACAGAUUAAUUACCAGUGAUCAGGGGAGUGGUGGAGGAUGAGCGGGAGUGUGUGAACCUCUUAUUCCUGGUAUUGCUGAUCACUUAAAAGUUUCAAAUGAAUGCAGUGUUUAAUAUAGACCAUGCUGCUGCUGGAGUAAUGAAAUAAAUUACUGGUUAGUUCUGAACUUUGAAAACGAUCAUUUUUCUUUUGGUGGCAGUUCUAGAUCAGGCUUCUAUAUGUGGAAAACAACAACAACAAAAACCCAUCUCCUAAAUAUAGCUUUAGUUUUCUACUUCAGAGCUACAAGCAUAAAAUACCCAUGAAUCAAUAAUGGAGGCCUGUAAACACUCUUCUGGCUCUAUAGUGUACUUAAUGUCAACCAGGGGCUGUAGUAAACCACAAUUUCCUAGCAGCAAUAAAUGCUGCAAGCUCCAGAGCUGAGCACAAAGUUUAAUUAAAAGCAAACAGAUAUAUAUAAAUCUGCUGACGCAAUCUCUCACUCUUGCAUCUGAAA